GAUGAACGCUGGCGGCGUGCCUAAUACAUGCAAGUCGAGCGAACAGAUGAGGAGCUUGCUCCUCUGACGUUAGCGGCGGACGGGUGAGUAACACGUGGAUAACCUACCUAUAAGACUGGGAUAACUUCGGGAAACCGGAGCUAAUACCGGAUAAUAUAUUGAACCGCAUGGUUCAAUAGUGAAAGACGGUUUUGCUGUCACUUAUAGAUGGAUCCGCGCCGCAUUAGCUAGUUGGUAAGGUAACGGCUUACCAAGGCAACGAUGCGUAGCCGACCUGAGAGGGUGAUAGGCCACACUAGAACUGAGACACGGUCCAGACUCCUACGGGAGGCAGCAGUAGGGAAUCUUCCGCAAUGGGCGAAAGCCUGACGGAGCAACGCCGCGUGAGUGAUGAAGGUCUUCGGAUCGUAAAACUCUGUUAUUAGGGAAGAACAAAUGUGUAAGUAACUAUGCACGUCUUGACGGUACCUAAUCAGAAAGCCACGGCUAACUACGUG
rnacentral:rRNA from 1 species